AUUGAACGCUGGCGGUAUGCCUUACACAUGCAAGUCGAACGGUAGAGGGGCAACCCUUGAGAGUGGCGAACGGGUAAGUAAUACAUCGGAACGUGCCCAGUCGUGGGGGAUAACGUAGCGAAAGCUACGCUAAUACCGCAUACGACCCGAGGGUGAAAGCGGGGGACUCGCAAGGGCCUCGCGCGAUUGGAGCGGCCGAUGGCAGAUUAGGUAGUUGGUGGGGUAAAGGCCCACCAAGCCUGCGAUCUGUAGCUGGUCUGAGAGGACGACCAGCCACACUGGGACUGAGACACGGCCCAGACUCCUACGGGAGGCAGCAGUGGGGAAUUUUGGACAAUGGGCGAGAGCCUGAUCCGGCCAUACCGCGUGCGGGAAGAAGGCCUUCGGGUUGUAAACCGCUUUUGUCAGGGAAGAAAUCUUCUGGGUUAAUACCUCGGGAGGAUGACGGUACCUGAAGAAUAAGCACCGGCUAACUACGUGCCAGCCGCCGCAGUAA
rnacentral:rRNA from 1 species